rnacentral:ncRNA from 1 species
CGUAACUUCGGGAAAAGAAUUGGCUCUAAAGGUCGGGUCAGCCGGGCUGUUGUGUGAAACAGGCGGCUUUUGCCCGUGGCUGCGUGCCGUCUCCUUGCGGGGUGGUGCGUGGACUAGUGGUGAGAGCUGCUUGUGGAGCGCUUCAGCUGCGUGUAUGCUCGUCAGGGUAUGCACUUCGGUUGGCGCUGAACGACCAGUUUAGAACUGGCACGAACUCGGGGAAUCCGACUGUCUAAUUAAAACAGAGGAGACGGAUGGUCCUUGUGGACGUUGACCGUGUCUGAUUUCUGCCCAGUGCUCUGAAUGUUAAGCCAAGGAAACUUGAUUAAGCGCGGGUAAACGGCGGGAGUAACUAUGACUCUCUUAAGGUAGCCAAAUGCCUCGUCGGCUAACUACCGACGCGCACGGGAGGCGGCCC